GGAGGGGUGCCCGAGCGGUUUAUGGGAGCGGUCUUGAACACCGUCGUGGCGCUUGCGUCACCGUGGGUUCGAAUCCCACCCCCUCCGCCA
rnacentral:tRNA from 2 species